rnacentral:lncRNA from 1 species
AAGAAAACUCCAAAUCGAAUUAAAAUCAUCCAUCAUAUAACAUCACAUAAUACAUUGCCCAGAUUAACAUAACACAAUAAAACAUCUCUUGAAGACAUUUCCUUACACAUGAAUAUAGCAAGGACGAACAUAAUUUCACAAUAGAACAAUGGCACAUCUGCUACUUCCCUACAGUACAAUGGACUUCAUUCCACUCUUCUAUGAGACAUGCUCGAGAUGAAGUUGUCAACCUACAAGAACAUUACACUGUACAUGAAUCAAUCAAAAGAAAAGAAAUAUAAAAAAAUAUUAGAAAUAAAAAGAUUUGUGUUCAGCCUGAAGACUAUGUUAAAAAUCCCGUGAUAUAAAUUCUGGAGUAUAAUUAGUCCAACCUAAACUAGUCACUGAGUCUGAAAAUUAAACUUCAAACUAGAUUGUUCCAGGAAAAUAUGGACAAAGAAAAUGGAGACAAGAAAAUUCAAUAUCUUUUUGGUAUUUUCGCUUUACUGGAGGAAUUUAAGCACUGACACAAGAAAGAGUCAAUGACACAAUAAUUAGCAGACAUGUAAGAUAAUACAAAACAAGCUACUCCACAUUACUGUGAUAACCAAGUGCAAACCAGGGUGUAAGAACAUUACCGUGAGAUUUGAUCUUAGAGAAAUACAUUUUAACAAGAAGAUUACCGUGAGCCUUGAUCUUAGAAAAUUACACUUUUAAUAAGAAUUCUAAGUUAACAACAAUAUUAUCCAAGUGUGCAGCAAAGUGUAAGAACAGUACCGUGAGAUACAAAAUUUAAAGUUGAGCAGAACUAAAAAUACAAAGAAACUAUAUGAUAUAAUCACAAUUAUAAAGAAACUAUAGUACAACAACAGUUCACUAGCGUGUGAAUUUUUUAACACAUUCCACAAAUCUAUAGAAGUCACACAUGCCACAACAAAAUCGAGAACACGGACCAUACAGACCUCGUGAUAUACCAUCAAACUUCUUAGGUCCAAACUCUGUGUGAUAUACCAUCCUCGCCGCCGGCCAGACAAACUGCUCGCUCAGGGCAGAAAAUAGAGCGACGUUUCAGCACGAACAGAGGAACACAUAGGUUUCACGCUACCAAUGUCAAAUAAAAAAUGUUUUAUUUUUGUCCUUUUCCAACUGAGUAAUGGCCACACAUGCACAACACCCUUAUUACAUGGUCAGGGCCAACUCGACUCUAUUAGCUUUUGGUUACAAAGCAAAUUGUGUAACACUUACUAGAAUAUACACCAACACCAUUAGGUUUCCUCAAUUAUUCUACUCAUUCUAAUCACUGAAAAAAUCAUGAAUUUGUACAACACUUACUAGAAUAUGGGAUCUAUCAUCUGCAAAAGAGAGAGAUGCAUGUUGCGGGGAGGAGAAGAAAGAC